ACCAGUAUUCUAUUACUCUGCCCGAAAUCUCAUCAGCCGCCGUCGCAUUUGAACCGGCAAUUGUUUUUUUUUCUCGUUUGUUGUCAUUUUCGUUUUUAAUGGCGACCUGCUGUCAUUUAAAAUGAAUAAAUAUAUUACUUUUAGAAAAGGGCCGACUGCUCGUAAAGAGAACGAUGGAAUUUAUAGAUUCGGCUGGGAAACUUGUCGAGAAAUCUUUUUUGCUUUUUUAGAUAAACUGACACGAGAGUUUGGUACCUUCUCAAACAGGCAUAAUUUCAAUCUAAUUAAUUGUAUCUGAGAUUUUUUUACCAGAUUUGUUUACUAACAGGGUUUGUACAACUUCAAUCUGGAUAAAAGUAGAUUGAAUUCUAAUAGAUUGAACUCCUUCUAUAUUUACUGCAGGAGCCCUCACUUUUUGCCAUAGCAAAACUGUUGGCAACUGGUCUUGUAAAUCUGAACAGGGUAGAAGUUCUUUGGCGUCCUGUAACAAAUCACCUGCUGGAAGUCAUCAUCCAUCCACUUAACCGCUUGAGAGAAUGGGGAAUAGAUGUCAUUACUACGUUAGUUAGAUCAGUAAUUCAAUAUGAUUAUUCUACCCCUUUAAAAGAAAACCAGAUAACUAUCC